AACGAACGCUGGCGGCAGGCCUAACACAUGCAAGUCGAGCGCCCUUUCGGGGGAGCGGCGGCCGGGUGAGUAACGCGUGGGAAUAUGCCCUUCUCUACGGAAUAGCCUCGGGAAACUGAGAGUAAUACCGUAUACGCCCUGUGGGGGAAAGAUUUAUCGGGGAAGGAUUAGCCCGCGUUGGAUUAGGUAGUUGGUGGGGUAAUGGCCUACCAAGCCGACGAUCCAUAGCUGGUUUGAGAGGAUGAUCAGCCACACUGGGACUGAGACACGGCCCAGACUCCUACGGGAGGCAGCAGUGGGGAAUCUUAGACAAUGGGGGCAACCCUGAUCGAGCCAUGCCGCGUGAGUGAUGAAGGCCUUAGGGUUGUAAAGCUCUUUCAGCUGGGAAGAUAAUGACGGUACCAGCAGAAGAAGCCCCGGCUAACUCCGUG
rnacentral:rRNA from 1 species